GCGGGGCCAUCCCGGAGAAACCGGAGCUUCCCGGCGUGCGGAGCUUCCCGGUGUGCGGAGAGCUUCCGGUGUGCGGAGAUUCCCGGGCGGGCGAGCGAAGCUCGGCAGCGGAAGUUUGCGCGAGGGGCGGCGCGCAGGCUCUUGUAGCAAGGGCGGAGCGGGCGCUACCGAGACCUCGUGGCGCAACGGUAGCGCGUCUGACUCCAGAUCAGAAGGCGCUUCCAGUGGUUUGGUGCCCUGUGAGGUCUUGCGAGAACCUGUCCCGAGCCUCAGAACCAGAAAUAAAAACCAUGUGGAUGUCUGA